rnacentral:lncRNA from 1 species
UGGAGCAUUUCCAUUAUGAAAGAAAUCUAGCCUGUAAUUUCAAAUCUGCCAAAUCACCUUAUCAGUUAUCACGUGUGGCCUGAAACCGAUGUCGUUGAUUGCUACUUGUAUCGGUUGUAUGUAUAACCCAUGCAGAAACACUUGACAGCCAAACAUCCAAGUAUGAGCUGCAGCCAGUUGGUGGAAGGUGUGAACAAGUCAGCUGUUGUAUUCAGUUUGUGAGGCAUCCCAUGCAGAAACCAGAAAAGAUUCACAAAAAGGUAAAAUUUUGUCCGCCAGGUGGUGGAGUGUCUGAUCGUGAGUGACGAAGCUGCCAUUUGCU